GUAUGUAUGUAGCACAUGUAUGUAUGUAGCACAUGUAUGUAUGUAUGUAUGUAUGUAGCACAUGUAUGUAUGUAUGUAUGUAUGUAGCACAUGUAUGUAUGUAUGUAUGUAUGUAUGUAUCACAUGUAUGUAUGUAUGUAUGUAUGUAUGUAUGUAUGUAUGUAGCACAUGUAUGUAUGUAUGUAUGUAUGUAUGUAUGUAUGUAUGUAUGUAUGUAUGUAUGUAUGUAUGUAGCACAUGUAUGUAUGUAUGUAGCACAUGUAUGUAUGUAUGUAUGUAUGUAUCACAUGUAUGUAUGUAUGUAUGUAGCACAUGUAUGUAUGUAUGUAGCACAUGUAUGUAUGUAUGUAGCACAUGUAUGUAUGUAUGUAUGUAGCACAUGUAUGUAUGUAGCACA
ensembl:lncRNA